CCUGGCGCCGCCGAACCUCCUCGUGCACCCGGCGCGCCUGCUCCAGGGCUUCAUCAUCCUCCCGGGACCUUCAGAGUGACCACAGUGACCACUGACCACUGACCAUCGUCACUGACCACUGACCAUCAUCACUGACCAUCACUGACCAGGAACCCCCCCCUGCCUGAACCUCCUCGUGCACCCGGCGCGCCUGCUCCAGGGCUUCAUCAUCCUCCCGGGACCUGGAGUGACCAGAGUGACCACAGAGUGACCAUGAGUGACCACCAGUGAGCACAGGAAUGGGGGUCACUGCCGGUGGUCCUGCUGGGGUUGGUGGCUCUGAUGUCCCAGGUGGUGUUUGAGGUGUCCCAGGUGGUGUUUGAGGUGUUCCUGGUGGUGUUUGAGGUGUCCCAGGUGCAGUUUGAGGUGUCUCUCAUGUCCCUGGUGGUGUCUGAGGUGUCCCUGGUGCAGUUUGAGGUGUCCCAGGUGCUGUCUGAGGUGUCUCUCAUGUCCCCGGUGGUGCCUGAGGCGUCCCCGGCGCCCCCGGCCGUGCCCUCACCUCAUCCUCUCCUGCUCCCUCCUGAGCCGCUCCUUCUCGCGCUCCACCUGCUCGGCCUGGGCCUUGAGGGCCUUCUCGCGCUCCUCCUUCUCGCGCGCCGCCCGCUUGAACUGCUCGAAGGAGUCGCUCGAGGACUUGGCCGCGGCCGCCGGCGCCGCCGGGUGCUUCUGCACCAGCGACGCCCACGAGCCCAUGUUCUUGAUCUUCAGGUCCUGCGAGAGACAGCGGCGUCACCCCGGGAUCCCCCGGGAUCCCCCCUCCGAGAUCCACCCUCUGUGAUCCCCCGGGAUCCCCCGGGAUCCUCUGGGAUCCCCCGGGACCCUCCGGGACCCUCUGUGAUCCUCCGGGAUCCUCUGUGAUCCCCCGGGAUCUACCCUCCGAGAUCCACCCUCUGUGAUCCCCCGGGACCCUCCGGGACCCUCUGUGAUCCUCUGGGAUCCCCCGGGAUCCCCCCUCCGAGAUCCACCCUCUGGGAUCCUCUGGGAUCCCCCGGGACCCUCUGGGAUCCCCCAGGACUCCCCUGGGACCCUCUGGGAUCCUCCAGGACCCCCGGGAUCCUCUGGGAUCCUCCAGGACCCCCGGGAUCCUCUGGGAUCCUCUGGGAUCCUCCGGGACCCUCUGGGAUCCCCCGGGACUCCCCUGGGACCCUCUGUGAUCCCCCGGGAUCCUCUGGGACCCCCCGGGACCCUCUGGGAUCCCCCGGGACCCUCUGGGACCCUCUGGGAUCCUCUGUGAUCCUCCGGGACCCUCCGGGAUCUUCCGGGAUCCUCUGUGAUCCCCCGGGACCCUCUGGGAUCCUCUGGGACCCUCUGGGAUCCUCCGGGACCCUCUGUGAUCCUCCGGGAUCCCCCAGGACCCUCCGGGAUCCCCCGGGAUCCCCCCGCCGUGGAGAUCCCCUGGAUCCCUCAGCCUGCUGGGACCCCAUGGAAAAGCUUCUGGAACGUUCCGGAUCCAUCCCUGAAGCUCCCCAGGCUCCCAACCCUCCCUCAGCCUGCUGGGACCACAUGGAAAAGCUUCUGGAACGUUCCAGACCCAUCCCUGGAGAUCCCCUGGAUCCCAACCCUUCCUGAACCUGCUGGGACCCCAGGAAAGAACCUCUGGAAUGUUCCGGAUCCAAAUCCUGGAGCUUCUCCAGCUCCCUCAGCCUGCUGGGACCCCAUGGAAGAGCUUCUGGAACCUUCCAGAUCCAAAUCCUGGAGCUCCCCUGGCUCCCAACCCUCCCUGAACCUGCUGGGACCCCAUGGAAGAGCUUC
rnacentral:lncRNA from 1 species